rnacentral:lncRNA from 1 species
AAUCCUUACCUUAAUGAAGUCUCUUGAUUUCUCUCUUCAGAAUCGCCCAAAAAGCUCCAAGGUCGAAGUCAACAAUGGUGGAAUUACUCAAACUCGCGAAAUGAAAUAACAUAUAUGGUCUGUCCAGGUCUUUCCGCAUCUGCGGUCAAAGAUCCGCUUCUGCAGUACCGCAUUUGCGGUCUAAGCCUCCGCUUCUGCGGAGUUCACUUACUCAGCCCACACCGCUAUUGCGACAAAACUUCCGUAUCUGCGACAUCGCAGAGGCUGUCACCAUACCGCUUCUGCGGUUGCCGCACAUCUGACCCCUUUUCGCUUCUGCGAUAAAUCACCCACAUCUGCGGUACCCAAUCCGCAGAUGCGAAAAUAUCAGAAGCAGCAAUAUCAACUGCUGCAAACAAAAUUCCACCCUCUCCGAUAACCAUCCGAAAUCACCCCGAGGCCCCCGGGACCUCAACCAAAAGCACAAACAUAUCCUAAUACCUUAUUCGAACUUGUUCCAAUCAUCAAAACACUUCAAACAACAUCAAAUCAACCAAAACACCUCGGAUUCAAGCCUAAAUUUCCAAAAAUUUCCGAAAUACGCUUUUGAUCAAAAACCCAACCAAACCACGUACGAAUGACCUGAAAUUUUGCACACACGUCACAAAUGACACAACAGAUCUACUGCAACUUUUGGAAUUUCAUUCCGACCUCUAUAUCAAAAUCUCACCUAUCAACCGGAAAAUGCCGAAAUCUCAAUUUCGCCAAUUCAACCCUAAACCUUCCACGGACUUCCAAAAUGCAUUUUGAUCACGCUCUUAAGUCCCAAAUCACCUAACGGAGCUAACCAAAUCCUAAAAAUUUCGAUUCAAGAUCAUAUACAAAAAAAUCAAAUAUUGAUCAAACCUUUCAAAUUUCGAGCUUCAAACUGGGAACUGUUCUUCCAAGUUCAUUCUGAUUACCCUGAAAACCAAAACCAACGAAUUACAUAGGUCAUAACACAUCACAUGGGGCAAGUCAUGCCCGAGAACUGGCGAGCAAAGUGCAAAAGCUCAAAAUGACCGAUCGGGUCAUUACAUUCUCCCCCACUUAAACAUACGUUCGUCCUCGUACGUGCCCAGAAUUGUUUCAAAAGCCACUAAUUGCUGAAUAACCUCACCAUGCACAUACUCGGGGGUGAUCCCACGUCACCCUAUGUCACAUAGGUUCGAUAACACAACAUAACUGAAAUUUUCACAAUCUAACCUAGCCCAUAACCCUUAAAACCACAUUUCCACUUCUGAAAUCAUCCACAAGAUCCGAAUCUCACAUCUAUACUCUGAAUAAGUCUGAACCAGCUGUAAUAACUCAUACCUGCAACCUGAGGUACAAUUAUAUGAUAUACCACAUAACUCAAACAUUUGUAGCGAUAACUUCUGAUCACAGCAGUUGUACACAACAACCGAAUACCGAUAGAAAACCUCUUAUCAGCUAAAGUCUCAUUCCCACACUUUCAUAUACUGCUAGUGAUAAAUAAAACAUGCAGUAUGCCAUAACCAUUUCUCAGAUCAACCAUUCAUGAGGCCACUUCUCCUUUGGCAAAGACCAUAGACGAUACCAUCUAAUCCAAUACAAUUACUAUGGUGACAUGACACAUCAAUACAGGAUGAAGCCGCAACUUGUGCAAUCCGCGCACCAAUAAGCAAAAAUCCAAACAUACUCAAAUCAUGAAAAUGACUCAAAUGAAAGAGUUGUACCGUAAACUCACCGGUACCAUCACACACAAUGACGAGAACCCGACACACAUCAUAGAAACAGGACACACGAAUCUAACCCGCAAGAUUAUAGCUUCGCUCCAAUGCGCGACCUCAUCCAAACACUAGUCCAUAUGAAACAUCUCAAUUCACUAGGCUCAAAAUCGACAACCAUGCGCAAUAUGAUGUUUGAAACCAAAGUAAUCAUCAUAACCACCGCGAAGCAAUUGACAUAACAUUACACAUACCCGAAGGGACACAACCGAUACGCCAACCGCCGAGCAAUACCCAGUACUCUUCCCGCUCGACUUCCACUAUGAACCCAAUGGAACCGCACCACAUGUGCCUAUAACCAACAAAUCAUAACGCCUCGUAACCCGGCAAAGUAACUCAUAGAUCACCUCCGAACUCUAAUAGCCCUAUAAUAAUUGAAUCCAUACAUCAACUCUAGUUACCCACAACAGAUAAAUAACCCUCCGAAGGUUCACAAUGAAUGAAUCGUAGCACAUACUAUCACCUGACUAACAUACCAACAUCUUUGCCAUCCACAACCAGGGCUAACCUGUAUAUGAGAACUUCCAGUAUCCAAGCUCAUAAAGCAUACGAAUUACCAUAACUGAUCAAAUUUCGCCGCUCGAAUAUACAACACACCUCUAAUACUCAAUCAUCCCAUGAGGGGUACACCUAUACUUCUUCUGUGCCACCAAGACAACUCGAAUAUCAUCAGUCGAUCAGACGAGAUAGUGCCAGAAUACCAAUAAAGCAUCCAUAACUCAACACAUCGACAUUUUCUAAAAUGUAUAUCCCCAUCAAGCCACACCAAUCAGUAAUACCAUUUCCUUAAUCAUCUAAAACUGCAUGUGCUGCCUAAGAAUCUUAUGACCUUCCUUUCAGAACUGAACCGCAACCUUACACGUGCAAUUCUCAAUCCUUCACAACAUACCGCAUGUACCAUACCAUCCUAGGAUAACACGAGAACUUCAUAUCCCUUUCGAGCCACAAGUAACUAUGUACUCCACUAACCAAGAACUUUCCAUUGAUCCCAUCUAGAAAAAAACCACUAUACAUCCCAUGCUCCUCAUGCUCAUAGAAAAUAUACACCUCUCACCGUGGUAGAAACCGUUAAGGACUCUCCGAAUUUCCAUGUGCACAAACUAAACCGUCAGGACUAAAUCCUUCUAACUUAACCAAGCUACGCAGGUCACUAAAACCCAAGAGAAUUGCCGCGAAAUGCCUGUAGAAACUCAUUAUCUCGUAAGCAUCCAAAGAACUAAUCAUAUCCUUACCAUCCGACUCGGCCUACUACCAAGCUAUCCCAUCUAUCCAAGUGUCCUUCUGGUUUACCUUCAACUUGAUACUCCUUCUUGCUAUAACAUCACUAUUUCUCCACCCAGACUUACCAGACGAGACCCAAGCACAAAACCACAUCGUCUAAGACUCAUAAGUCGUUGAAUACUCUCUUAAAUAUUCCCAAAAGUACCACAUUCAAAAUACUUUACUCUUAAUAGACUUCCUACGAAUCUAAAUCCGUUACCUUUACCUUCCUGAUACUGAUUCAUAGAAUCCCAUAAUUAAUAUAGAAAAUAACACAAGUCUUGACAUCUUCUAAUGAAAACUCAGUUUCUAGUCACAUAUACAACUUUAAAAUACCCAAUUGUUACAUGUAGAAUAUUGAACACAUUAGAACCAUUCUCGAUCAUUCACUCUAUUCAAACUGCAAUUAGCCUGAUCAAACGAACAGAACCACCCAUGCCUCAAUAGCACUCUGACACAGCAGAGUGUAACCUCAUCCUAGAACAACCAAGCCACUUCCUGCUCUAUGCACCGAGCAUCUAUUACCAACAACAACUCAAGACAUUCCGUGAUUCUCAUACACCUAUGAAGCAUGACAUAACCUUUGUCAAAAUUUUCCUUUACUCGAGACAUCCUCGGUCUCAAUCUCCGUAAGUCAUAACUGAUUCACUAGUACGCCUCAAACUGGAACCAACAUAGCACAUAACCGUGCAAUCAACUAAGCAAUAGCAGACUCCCCUAUUUGGCUCGAAGCCAUAAACCAUACACACUCAAUAACUCAUAACACAUAUACUCUAUUGCUGCCAUAAUACCAUAGUGAGAUUAAACUCAAACCCUUUGUAAGCUUGGGAAAACACAGAUCAUCUAGUACUUAAAAUCUUCUGCAAAUCCCGCAUUCACUCCCGCAAUAGUUACACCCACUCUCUUAAGCGACCCAAUUUAAAUUACAACACAUAUCUUUCACUUGCAAAUGAGAUCUUCUAACAGACAACAUAAAGAUCGCACAAACUUUCGAACACUCCGCAAGAAAUAACCCACAUGAUUUGCCUCAAACUAACAUUUCUGUAUAGCUUCCACCAUCAUAAAUAUUACACGGUCACUUAAUCUUCCUGAGGCUGAACUCAUUCCGUAACAUAAAAUUUACUUCACUCCCACUAGAACACAUGAAAAGAUUCUUCACACCCAUAACUCGGGGCUAUACCUCCAAUCGAGAUGAAAACAAAGUACCUAAUAGUUCUUCUAUCCUCCAGCAGACCCUUCUCGUCGUUUCCAAAUCAUAUGAACACACCUCGCAACCAUAACAUACUCAUCACGUAGCUAUCCAGUCAUCACUUCCCUUAAUAGGGACACAACAGCACAUAUAGAUCCAGAAACAUGCGCUCACGCAAUCAACAUCUUAGGGCUCAAGCUAUAGGUAAAAAUCCUGCCUCAAGUCUUCCAGCUGCUGCAACAAAAAUCGUUGUGGCGUGCAGCCCGAUCCAUAUAUCGCUGCGGCGUGCAGCCCAAUCCAUAUAUAUAGUCGACUACCCUCACUAGGGGUGUGCAGACUUCAGAGGGGCUCCUACAGCCCAAGCGCUAUAUCGCUGCGACGUGCAGCCCGAUCCAACAUAUCGCUGCGGUGUGCAGCCCGAUCCAUAGAUAUAUAUAAUCCUCACAACCAGGUCCUCGGCCUCUCUCUCAGUCAUUAACCUCACAAUCAGACCCUCAGUCUAUCUAAGUCAUCAACCUCACAAUCAGACCCUCAAUCUAUCUCAGUCAUCAACCUCACAAUCAGACUCUCAGUCUAUCUCGGUCAUCAACCUCAUAAUCAGACCCUCGGUCUAUCUCAGUCAUCAACCUCACAAUCAGACCCUCGGACCAUCAGUAAAACAGGGAAUCCAGCCCAAAUAGUUUUCACAUUUUAAAGAAAUAUAGUGAUAAAACCAAAUUUAAACAAUAACCAGGUAAAAACAUGACUGAGGAUAUGCUUUCAAAACAAAUAGAGUGAGGAAAAGAUAGUAAAAAUGCCCUUAAGGGUCUUAACAGGUCGGCACAAGGCCCCAAACAUGGAAUACAACCCAAAAUAUAACAUCAAUCUCUAGAACAUGGAAUAUCCUAAGGUUUCAAAUCAAAUACGCGACUUAACAAUCGUACGAGAUGGACCAAGUCACAAUCCCCAACGGUGCACAACUCCACGCUCGUCAUCUAGCAUGUACGUCACCUCAAAAUAACAUAACGAUAUGUAAUCCGGGGCUUCAAACCCUCAGGACAGUAUUUACAAUCAUUACUUACCUCGAUCCGGCUAAAUCUCUAGCUCGCGACGCCUUUUCCCCUCAAAUCGGCCUCCACACAUGCCGAGUCUAUCCAAAAUCAGAACGAGAACAUCAAAAUAUGCUAAAGGAACGAAGCCCAAGCGAAAACAAUCAAUAAAGGGCACAAAUCCCGAAAUUAGCAAAAUCCGAGCCCCGGUCCCAUUUCUCAAAACUCAGAAAUUUCCACAUCAAUAGAUUCCUCAUCUCCCCACGAGUCUAUGCAUAUCAAAAAUACCAAAUCGGAGUUCAAAUGACCCCUCAAAUCCCCAAUUUAAGGCCUCUUAUUCUCAAGCCUUAAUCCUCCAUUUUUAGCCCUUAAAUUCCUUUAAUUACAGCCCGAAUACAUGAAAUACUACCAUAGAAAUGUGUUUUUAAGUCCAAAAUCCUUACCUUAACGAAGUCUCUUGAUUUCUCUCUUCAGAAUCGCCCAAAAAUCUCCAAGGUCGAAGUCAACAAUGGUGGAAUAACUCAAACUCGCGAAAUGAAAUAACAUAUAUGGUCUGUCUGGGCCUUUCCGCAUCUGCGGUCAGAGAUACGCUUCUGCGGUACCGCAUUUGCGGUCUAAACCUCCGCUUCUGCAGAAUUCACUUACUCAGCCCACACGCUUCUGCGACAAAACUUCCGCAUCUACGACACCAUACCGCUUC